GUUUCACUGAACUUACAGUGUGUGAGGUUUAAAGUUUGGAAAUGGCUGAUAAGGGAAAAGGAGGACCAUCUUCAAGGGGGCAAGGAAAAGGCUGUGGUGGACAAGGUGGUGGCAGUGACUUUAGCUGCAGUACUGGCCUUGGCGGAAAAGGUGGUGACAGCAGCCAUGAGUUUGGCUGCACUAUUAGCCUUGCCGAUUGUGGAUUUGGCAGAGAAGGUGUUGGUAGCGGUGGACAAGGUGUUGGCAGCGGUGGACAAGGUGUUGGCAGCGGUGGACAAGGUGUUGGCAGUGGUGGAAAUAAAAAGAAAUGACUUCAGCAGCUCCUGCAGCAGUGACUCUGACUAGAUGAACAUUUCUGGAGGGACCUGCAUGGAAACAUUAGUAUCUAAUCCUUUACUUAAAAAUCGUUUGACAAAUAUAAGAAAAAAUAAGUUAAAUAUAAAUAAUGUGUAAAACAGAAGGCUGAUUCACAUAUUUAAAAAAGCUGCGCCUUAAAGCAAAGCCUGCUUCAGUGUCACUUUUGCUUUUAAUUGGAACAUAAUUUUAAAAAAAUAACUAUAUGUUUUAGAACUAAAGUCACCAUAAAGACACCUGGAAAGUGUUUACUGAGAUCAUUUGUCAGAAGCAGGUAUAUUUUUGA